GCGUGCGUGGCGAAAUGGCUAACGCUCCGGGUUGUGGCUCCGGCAUUCGAGGGUUCGAUCCCCUUCGCACGCCCCA
rnacentral:tRNA from 2 species